GUAUUUUUAGUAGAGACGGAGUUUUUUAGUAAAGACGGGGUUUCACUGUGUUAGCCAGGACGGUCUCCAUUUCCUGACCUCGUGAUCCACCCGCCUUGGCCUCCCAAAGUGCUGGGAUUACAGGCGUGAGCCACCGCACCUGGCCUAUUAAAUCCUCUUUAAGGUGGAAUAUAGUUGACAAGCCGACAUCAGUCUCCAGAGUGAAUCCAAGGAGUGGACCCAAGACAUUUGUGUUCUGUGAUGUGGUGGCAUGUUACCUGUCAUCUCUGAUGCAUAACUCCUAAAGUGUUUGCGUCUGGGGCAGUUGUACAGAUUGCAAAGGAUAAUACUCAAGAUGUCCUCCAAGGCCAACUACUCAUCAGUUUAUUCAUGUUUCUGGGACUGGAUUCAUGAAUUCAUCCUUUCAACUAUUUCAACAAGCUUUUUCAUGUAACUAAUCUGUGGAAGGUAGAAAGGGGAAAACUGUUGGGUGCUAAAAUGACAACUGGUUCAAGGUACAAUGGCGAAUAUUUUUAUUUCUGCAACUUUUCUUAGAGGUUGGAAACUAGACUGGGCAGGAAGAUUCCUUUUUGUAAGAUUAGUCUCCAGUUUUCAUCAAGCAGUUUAGUGGGGUAUUUUAGGCCCAGUUCCCUCUCCACAGUCCCCAAAGGUCUUCUGUUAACUUUAAAUCAGCAAAGAGAGAGAUCUCUGCCAAGUAGCAACUGCAAGAGCAUGUGGGUCAAAGUUACCAGCAGACACUCAAAGCCCAUUCCCUUUACUUCAACACCGCUUUAUAAAUUAUUUUAGAGACGUUGUCAGGUUGGUAUCAGAGGUGAGUGGUCAUGACUUCAUGAUUUCUCAUCUUUCUGAAUGCAUAGUGGCUGGGAGUGGUGGCUCAUGCCUGUAAUCCCAGCACUUUGGGAGGCCGAGGUGGGCAGACUGUUUGACCACAGGAGUUCGAGACCAGCCUGGGUAACGUGGCAAGACCCCAAUCUCUACCAAAAAAAAAUACAAAAAUUGUCUGGGUGUGGUGAUGCAUGCCUGUAGUCCCAAGUCCCAGCUACUCUACUUGGGAGGUUGAGGCAGAAGGAUCACCUGAGCCCAGGAAGGCCAAGGCUGCAGUGAGCCCUGAUGGUGCCACUGCACUUGAGCUUGGGCAACAGAAUGAGAAUGAGACCCUG
rnacentral:lncRNA from 1 species